rnacentral:tRNA from 1 species
GUCCCCGUAGUUCAAUGGAUAGAACAGAUCCGUCCUAAGGAUACGAUGGGAGUUCGAUUCUCUCCGGGGACACCA